rnacentral:rRNA from 1 species
AGUGAACGCUGGCGGUAGGCCUAACACAUGCAAGUCGAACGGCAGCACAGUAAGAGCUUGCUCUUACGGGUGGCGAGUGGCGGACGGGUGAGGAAUACAUCGGAAUCUACUUUUUCGUGGGGGAUAACGUAGGGAAACUUACGCUAAUACCGCAUACGACCUACGGGUGAAAGCAGGGGAUCUUCGGACCUUGCGCGAUUGAAUGAGCCGAUGUCGGAUUAGCUAGUUGGCGGGGUAAAGGCCCACCAAGGCGACGAUCCGUAGCUGGUCUGAGAGGAUGAUCAGCCACACUGGAACUGAGACACGGUCCAGUCUCCUACGGGAGGCAGCAGUGGGGAAUAUUGGACAAUGGGCGCAAGCCUGAUCCAGCCAUGCCGCGUGGGUGAAGAAGGCCUUCGGGUUGUAAAGCCCUUUUGUUGGGAAAGAAAAGCAGCAGGUUAAUACCCCGCUGUUCUGACGGUACCCAAAGAAUAAGCACCGGCUAACUUCGUG